GUGAGCCCCGUCUGUCCGUUGCUGGGGCGACCCUGGGCCUUGAGGAGCCACCUGACUUUAAAUGGUGCAGGGCGUCCCUAGUGCCUGCACAGUAAGGCUCUGUUGCUUGAGUUCCUGUGUUUGAUCUUCAACAUUGUGGACUAAGACGGGCAGGCUUUUCUCUUCAUUCUUGAGUUUUCACUGGGGCCCUGGGGCUCAAUCUCUUGAAGGAAAGUUGUUGGAGGAAGAGGGCAUACCAGAAAAGAAGGAGCAAUGGAAUAUUAUUCAGCAAUAAAAAGGAAUGAACAACUGUUACAUGCUACAACGGGGAUGAACCUUGAAGACAUUAUGCUAAGUGAAAGAAGCCAGGGACAAAAGAUCAUGUAUUGUAUGAUUCCCUUUAUAUGAGAUGUCAAGCACAGACAAAUUCUUAGAGCCAGAAAUAGAUUAGUGGUUGCCUAGGGCUGAGGGAGGAUGUGGGGAAUGAGGGUGACUGCUAAAGUGUAUGGAGUUUCUUUUGGGGUGAUGAAAAUGUUCUAAAAUUGAUUGUGGUGAUGGUGCAUAACAUAGUAUACUAAAAACCAUUGAAUUGUACACAUUAAAUGGAUAGAUUGCAUGGGAUGUGAAUUAUAUCUGAAUAAAACUGUUACCAAAAAGAAAAGAAAGGAAGGAAAGAAGGAAGGAAGGAAGGAAGGAAGGAAGGUGAGAGCAAGGAAGUAGAGGUGGAAAGUGUUGUAUCUAAUUUAGGAGGCAUGGGAUGGAUCGGUCUGGCUAGCAUUUAAGGAAGCAGCUAGGAAUAAAGUUGAGGCCAAAUUACAAAGGGCCUAGAACUUCAUGUCAAAGAGUUUGGGCUUGAUUUCUAACUCUGAGCUGUCAAGUAUAGUAGCCACUAGCCAUAUGUGACAACUGAGCACUUAAAAUAUGGCUAGUUCAAGUUGAGGUGUGGCAUAGGCACAAAAUACACACCAGAUUUCGAAGACUUAGAAUGAACACAAGAAUAUAAAACCUCAUUAAUAGUUUUAUAUUGAUUACAUCUUGAUAGAUUGGGUUAAAUAAAAUAUAUUAUUACUCUUAAUUUUUAGAAUCAUGUUUAUUUUACUUUUUAAGAUGGCUACUAGAAAAUUUUAAAUUACCUCUGUGGCUCACGUUAUAUUUCUAUCGGACGGCGCUGUUAUGGAUAGGGGGAGCCCAUUGAGUGUUGUUGAAUCAGAACAGGGGUUGGCAAAUGUUCUCUAUAAAGGGCCAGAUGGCAAAUAUUUUAGGACUUGAGGGCCGCAGUCUCGGUCACAACUGCUCCGCUCUGCUGUUGUGGUGCAGAGGCAGCUAUGGACAAUGCAUAACAAAUAAGCACAGUUGUGUUCCAGGACAGCUUGACUUAUAGAUGCUGAAGUUUGAAUCUCAUAUGAUUUUUACUUGUUAAGAAAUAUUAUUCUUCUUUUGAUUUUUUACCCCAAUGUAAAAAAUGUAAAUUUUAAAAUUAAAAAUUUUACAAUUUAAAAAUGUGAAAAAACCUUGCUAGGGCUGGCCCCGUGGCCAAGUGGUUAAGUUCGCACGCUCUGCUUCUGUGGCUUGGGGUUUCACGGGUUCGGAUCCUGGUUGUGGACAUGGCACCACUCAUCAAGCCAUGCUGAGGCAGCAUCCCACAUGCCAAAACUGGAAGGACUCA
ensembl:lncRNA